UUAAACAUGAGAACACGUGUGAAAAAGGUUUUUAAAAAUCAGCCAAAGAUUGGGGUUUCCAAAUAUUCAGCUGUUUAACAUUCAGAUAAUUGCCUGCCUUCCCCCCGCUAUCCCCCACAUUUCGUCUGAAUGCUUUGGCACGGGGGAGCCCCACAGUCUGAAAGUAACUCUGUCCCAACUCUCCUUACUGCAUUUAUUAAAGAGGCUGAAAGACGCAUCUGCUUUUCAAUAGUUUGCGGUUCUUAAGAGACCAGGAAAGCCAGAGGUUCUGACUAUUCAGGAAGAAAGUUGGGUUUCCCAAAACGGGCAAGCAAGUUCGGUGUGGUCACAUCUAGGUAUUCUUGACGUCAUUUUUGUUGAGGGAAACAGGCUGCAGUUUUUGGAGCCAGGCUAGGAUGAGAGAUGGAGGGCAAAUCUGUCACUUAUUCUUUCCUGGUGUGCCUGGAACCCACUAGACACUCAAUUCAUGUUUACGUGAAUGAAGGAAUCACAAUAACGCCCUAUCGCAUCUGUAAAACCGAAGGGUGAUUUUCCUGGGCUGGAAAGUUUAAGAAAGAAGAGAGAGCUGCGUACCUAGGGCUUAAGGGGCCUCAGGCUGGCACUCGAAACCAGGCGUUCUCAUUUCCCUUUGGCAUCACCCUGAACGGCUGUGCCUGGAGCUGGCGCGGGGCUGAAGAGGGGAGGAAAUACAUGUGAGGAAAAUCAGAGGAGAGGGUCGGGAACAGAUGUGGGCAUAAAGGGAAGGCCUCUGACUUGAAAUAAACAAAUAGGAGUCCCGCAGCUGGAAGGACAAAUCCUUUCACGUCGCGGGUGAUGUGGGAUUGGGGCGAUUUUGCUCUCCCUUUGUUCUUUCCCCUGCCUUCCACGUUUCCAGGGUAUUUGAUUGAUGUCUGUCUUCUCUGUUAAGUUAUUCCACCGUGAGGAGAGAGCCGGUGGCAGUACCUGGCACGCAGCGGGCGCCCAGUAUAGACCUCAAAUGAUUUGCAAGUUUUCGGCGCUGAGCACGUGGAGCUUUGGAAACCAGGACAGCAAAUGAGUGUCUCGGAGACCACAAAAGCGGUUCCGGCGCGUGCGAAAGGCGGUGGCUGGGCGACGGCGGAGGGAACGGCGCAGAGCGGGGCGCCCCGCCGGGAGCGCUGCCUGCGUGGCGCCCGAGGCGG
rnacentral:lncRNA from 10 species